GGCAGCGGCGCACGCGGGGCCCCGGAGGCAGCCGCCCAAGGUCGCCGCCGUCCCGGCCUCCCAUUUCUGCCGGGCCGAGCCGAGGUCACCAACUUGGGCAGAGAUGAGAAAACUGAGGCACAUAAACUUGUCUCACAUCACACCAUUAGUAAGUGGAAGAGCCAGACUUCAGACCCUGAUUGUCCAACUGUUGAACUUGGUUCAGCUUCUGCUGUAGUUUUCCCUGAAUCUCACAGGACCCAGUUAUGCUGCGCUUGUGGAACAGAGUGCCAUUUGCCUGGGUGGUUGCCUCCGCAUGGGAGCACUGAACAAAACUGCCUUGGAUUCCCUCCUUUGAAGAAAUACUACAUGCUGCUUGCUGGUUCCAACAUAACAGGAGACUUUCUAUAGAAACUAUUCAUUUGUUUAAUUUCCAUUUCAUUGGGUACCUCUUGUACUACAGGGUCAGUACUAGAUGCCUAGAGAGAGAUGAAAGUGACUAAAACAGAACCCUGCCUUCAAGGGUCUUAUGGUCUAGUCAGGAAGAUAGGCAUAUAUAACCAGAUCAUUAAAACCCAAAAUAUAAUAGAGGUAUGGGAAGUAAGUGCUGAAAUGUUUAAUAGUUAACAUCUGUAUCGAUGCUUUACUGUUUAUAAGAUGUUGUCACUUGAUUUUCGCCACAUUCCUGUAAAGGAGUUAGGUAAGAGGUUAUCGUCUUCCCUAUGUUGUAGAUGCAGAAAUAGACUGAGGAGGCUGCACCCCAGGCAAGGUGCUAGUUCAUGAUGGUGUGGAGACCUUACCCAGCUUGUUUGACCCCAGGUCCCGUGCUCUUUUUUCAUCACACCAUGCUGCCUUCCCAUCUGAGGAUCUCCCGGCGCUUGGUAUGAAUGCUGCCAAAAUGAAUUGGAGCAGACGGCUGAGAACCAGAUCAGUGUCAUCCUUCCUAACCUGUCAGAGCCUCCCUGACUCAGAAAAGCCUUAACAGUAACUUGAGGAAAACACACAGACUAUGGAAGUCACCUUCAUCCAAAAGGGGCACUUCCAUAUCUUCUUUUUGUGCCUCUCAGAUUUUUUCAAAUUGAAAUUAAAAUAUUCAGGAUUCAAAGAUUAAGCCAGGAGUCUGAGUUGAGAAAGAACAGUUGGAAAUGACUUACACCAGGGCUUCUCAACAGCGGCAUUCGUGCUGGAUAAUUCUUUGUUGUGGAGACUGUCCUGUGCAUUGUGGGAUGUUUAGCAACAUCCCUGGCCUCCACCCAGCGAUGCCAUUAGCAUUCUCCCCGCUAGUUGUGAUAAUCAAAAAUGCCUCCAGAUGCUGCGAGAUGUCCUGGUGGGCAGAAGUCGUCACUGGUUUGACAACCACUGAUUUAGACCAAAGGACAGUUCAGUGGGCUAUAGCUCAGGCUGUUCCUGUUUGCCUUCCUGCAGCCUUUCUCACUGGCAGAGGGGGUGUGUUCAGGGGGUUGAGGUGGGAGAAGGAUGACUAGGACAAAGCUAUGAGUUUGCGUCUUUAGAGACAAGGAUUCUUAACCUGGGAAGAUGGGCAUUCAGGGAUCCGUGAACUGACAUUGUAGGCAAAACUUUGCAUUUGUGCCUGUGAAUAUUUUCCUGAGGAGAAGAUUCAUACAGCCAGUGCGCUGGUGUGUGGUUCAGGAGACCUUGUGGAAUGGGAGUAGGUGGACACCAGCUCCCCCAGUACGCACAGAGGCACCUUGCUUUUGUCUCCCAAGGUUGGGCAGGAUUCUAAUAUGAAAACGCAGGGAAGGUAAGCACUGAUAGCAGGGGAACAUUCCUCAUACUCCUUUCCUUAAAAGAGCACAAAAUUGUAAAUUAAAAAACAAUAAGCAACCUGGAUUCUAGGCCCAUGUUUGCCAGGGACCAGUAGUCUGACUUAAGGCAAGUCCCCACAGGCCUCUAGUGGUAAGAUUCUAAAUUCCAGGAUCCAUAUUAGUUUGCAUUAAUUUGUGUCUCUGUCUCCUUAUGGUCCCUUUGUUUGCUCUUUUCUAAAAUUCCAAAUGUGAUACUGUGGUGUUUAACAGCUAACUCUCUGUCAGGAAAUCUAGAUUUAUAGUGUUUACCAUUUUCAAUGAUGUAAGUACUCCCACCACGGUUGAUUUUGAGCUAUCAAAGUGAAGUCAGUGACGGCCGAUUUGGGAAGAGAUGUGUAUAAUUGGCUCACCAUGGCAGCCUGCUCUGGCACACCACUGGAUACUGAGUUCUUUCUCAUGUGAUCCUCUGUCUUCUCUGUUAACACUUACCUACAAAGCUGGGAUGCAGUUUCUCCUAUUAGAUUUCUGCUAUUGCUUAUUCUUUGGUUGAAUCAGCCUGGCAUGAUCUCUCCCUCAGCAGAAGCUUUAUUUUUCUAUUGCUAUCACUAAGUUAUGAGUAUAAUUAAAGAUUCAAACUUG